GUAAGGCAGAUUCACAGCACUAGAACACACUGCAGAUGAACUACGCUUUUAUUGGUGUAGUGUUAGUAUCCAGCUUGCUGCUGUUGUCAUGGCGACACAUCCUUCCUCCGUCACUCAAACCAACAAACAGGAGGACGACACAACGUUUCAAUCUUCUUCUUCUGUCUGUGUGCAGAUAGUUUUAAGAGGCAAGUCAGAGAUUACAGCACACGGAUGACAUCUUUGAACGGAAACGAUCGCUUGAGUCGCACACAUGCAGAUAAACCACAGCAGGACCUGUUGCAUUCCUCGACGGCUAAUGGAUUUUCAACAGGCAAGAGCUGCUCGCAGUCAAGAAUGACAUGAUCACAGUGAGAAACCUGUUGCAGCUGAUCAGUCCAGUGAAUGCUCGGAGUCUCCUCAUCACUGCAGAAGAGAGAGAGACAGAGAGAGAGCGUGCGAGUCCUGCAUGCAGCCAGCAGGACCUCCAAACGCUCGGCUUCACUGAUCCU